rnacentral:rRNA from 1 species
GAGUCUUCCCUGAUACUUUAAGUAUCCUAAAGGGUUGUCGGAGACUACGACGUUGAUAGGUCAGGUGUGUAAGUGCUGUGAGGCAUUGAGCUAACUGAUACUAAUUGCCCGUGAGGCUUAACCAUACAACACCCAAGGGGUUU